GUGACCGUAGCUCAGCGGCAGAGCGCUUCCCUGUGGAGGAAGAUGUCGUGGGUUCAAAUCCCACCGGUCACC
rnacentral:tRNA from 1 species